GUUAGGGGAUGUGAUGCUUCGAUACUGCUAAGUUCGCCAACUAACAACGCUGAGAAGGAUCACCCGGAUAAUCUUUCGCUUGCCGGCGAUGGUUUUGACACGGUCAUCAAGGCAAAGGCUGCCGUUGAUAGUGUUCCUCAAUGCAGGAACAAAGUUUCAUGUGCUGAUAUACUAUCCCUUGCUACAAGGGAAGUUGUAGCAUUGGCAGGAGGACCAUUUUAUGAAGUGGAACUGGGGAGACGUGAUGGGAGGAUAUCAACCAAGGCUAGUGUUCAACGCAGGCUGCCAAGUCCUGACUUCAAUUUAGACCAGCUCAAUUCCUUGUUUGCUUCGCUUGGUCUUAACCAAAUUGACGUCAUUGCUUUAUCAGGCGCACACACACUUGGGUUUUCUCACUGUAGCCGCUUCUCCAAAAGAAUCUACAACUUCAGUCCCAGAAACAAGAUUGACCCAACACUCAAUCUUCAAUAUGCACUUCAGCUAAGGCAAAUGUGCCCAAUAAAUGUAGACCCAAGAAUUGCAAUUAACAUGGACCCAACCACACCUCAGAAAUUUGACAAUGCCUACUAUGGAAACCUUGUGCAAGGAAAAGGGUUGUUCACUGCGGACCAGGUUCUGUUUACUGAUCCAAGAUCAAGAGCCACUGUCACCCAGUUUGCAUCAAAUAAUGCAGCUUUUCAGAAUGCUUUUGUGGCUGCCAUGACGAAGCUUGGCAGAGUUGGGGUCUUGACAGGAAAUCAAGGUGAAAUCAGG
rnacentral:misc_RNA from 1 species